CCUACGGGGGGCAGCAGUGAGGAAUAUUGCACAAUGGGGGAAACCCUGAUGCAGCGACGCCGCGUGAGUGAAGAAGUCUUUCGGUUUGUAAAGCUCUAUCAGCAGGGAAGAAGCAAGACGGUACCUUACUAAGAAGCCCCGGCUAACUACGUACCAGCAGCCGCGGUUAUCAGGAGGGGGCAAGCGUUAUCCGGAUUGACUGGGUGUAAAGGGAGCGUAGACGGCAGGUCAAGUCGGGAGUGAAAGGCGGGGGCUCAACCCCCGGACUGCUCUGGAAACUGUCCGGCUUGAGUGCAGGAGAGGUAAGUGGAAUUCCUAGUGUAGCGGUGAAAUGCGUAGAUAUUAGGAGGAACACCAGUGGCGAAGGCGGCUUACUGGACUGUAACUGACGUUGAGGCUCGAAAGCGUGGGGAGCAAACAGGAUUAGAUACCCUUGUAGUC
rnacentral:rRNA from 1 species